rnacentral:rRNA from 1 species
UACGAAGGGUGCUAGCGUUGUUCGGAAUGACUGGGCGUAAAGGGUGCGUAGGCGGCCAGAAGCGUCUGAUGUGAAAUCCCUGGGCUUAACCUAGGAACUGCAUUGGAUACGGUCUGGCUAGAGUCCGCGAGAGGAAGAUGGAAUUGUGCGUGUAGAGGUGAAAUUCGUAGAUAUGCACAAGAACACCGGUGGCGAAGGCGAUCUUCUGGAGCGGUACUGACGCUAAGGCACGAAAGUGUGGGGAGCAAAC